GAUGAACGCUAGCGGCAGGCUUAAUACAUGCAAGUCGAGGGGCAGCAUAAAAGUAGCAAUACUUUGGUGGCGACCGGCGCACGGGUGAGUAACGCGUAUGCAACCUACCUAUCAGAGGGGAAUAACCCGGCGAAAGUCGGACUAAUACCGCAUAAAACAGGGGCACCGCAUGGUGAUAUUUGUUAAAGAAAUUCGCUGAUAGAUGGGCAUGCGUUCCAUUAGGUAGUUGGUGAGGUAACGGCUCACCAAGCCGACGAUGGAUAGGGGAGCUGAGAGGUUGGUCCCCCACACUGGUACUGAGACACGGACCAGACUCCUACGGGAGGCAGCAGUGAGGAAUAUUGGUCAAUGGGCGAGAGCCUGAACCAGCCAAGUCGCGUGAAGGAAGAAGGAUCUAUGGUUCGUAAACUUCUUUUGCAGGGGAAUAAAGUGCGGGACGUGUCCUGUUUUGUAUGUACCCUGAGAAUAAGGAUCGGCUAACUCCGUGCCAGCCGCCGCGGUAA
rnacentral:rRNA from 1 species